rnacentral:rRNA from 1 species
AACGCUGGCGGCGUGCCUAAUACAUGCAAGUCGAGCGAAUGGAUUGAGAGCUUGCUCUCAAGAAGUUAGCGGCGGACGGGUGAGUAACACGUGGGUAACCUGCCCAUAAGACUGGGAUAACUCCGGGAAACCGGGGCUAAUACCGGAUAAUAUUUUGAACUGCAUGGUUCGAAAUUGAAAGGCGGCUCGGCUGUCACUUAUGGAUGGACCCGCGUCGCAUUAGCUAGUUGGUGAGGUAACGGCUCACCAAGGCAACGAUGCCGUAGCCGACCUGAGAGGGUGAUCGGCCACACUGGGACUGAGACACGGCCCAGACUCCUACGGGAGGCAGCAGUAGGGAAUCUUCCGCAAUGGACGAAAGUCUGACGGAGCAACGCCGCGUGAGUGAUGAAGGCUUUCGGGUCGUAAAACUCUGUUGUUAGGGAAGAACAAGUGCUAGUUGAAUAAGCUGGCACCUUGACGGUACCUAACCAGAAAGCCACGGCUAACUACGUGCCAGCAGCCGCGGUAAUACGUAGGUGGCAAGCCGUUAUCCGGAAUUAUUGGGCCGUAAAGCGCGCGCAGGUGGUUUCUUAAGUCUGAUGUGAAAGCCCACGGCUCAACCGUGGAGGGUCAUUGGAAACUGGGAGACUUGAGUGCAGAAGAGAAAGUGGAAUUCCAUGUUGUAGCGGUGAAAUGCGUAGAGAUUAUGGAGGACCACCAGUGGGCGAAGCGACUUUCUUGGUCUGUAACUUGACACUGAGGCGCGAAAGCGUGGGGGAGCAAACAGGAUUAGAUACCCUGGUAGUCCACCCCGUAAAC